rnacentral:rRNA from 1 species
GAAACUUGGAUUAAUACCGGAUACGGCCGUGAGGCGGAAGAUUUAUCGCCGGAGGAUUGGCCCGCGUUCGAUUAGCUUGUUGGUGAGGUAACGGCUCACCAAGGCGAUGAUCGAUAGCUGGUCUGAGAGGAUGAUCAGCCACAUUGGGACUGAGACACGGCCCAAACUCCUACGGGAGGCAGCAGUGGGGAAUAUUGGACAAUGGGCGCAAGCCUGAUCCAGCCAUGCCGCGUGAGUGAUAAAGGCCUUAGGGUUGUAAAGCUCUUUCGCUCGGGACGAUAAUGACGGUACCGAGAUAAGAAGCCCCGGCUAACUUCGUCCAGCAGCCGCGGUAAUACGAAGGGGGCUAGCGUUGUUCGGAAUUACUGGGCGUAAAGCGCGUGUAGGCGGGUCUUUAAGUCAGGGGUGAAAUGCCAAGGCUCAACCUUGGAACUGCCUUUGAUACUGGGGACCUUGAGUCCGGGAGAGGUGAGUGGAAUUGCGAGUGUAGAGGUGAAAUUCGUAGAUAUUCGCAAGAACACCAGUGGCGAAGGCGGCUCACUGGCCCGAUACUGUCGCUGAGACGCGAAAGCGUGGGGAGCAAACAGGAUUAGAUACCCUGG